rnacentral:tRNA from 4 species
UCCCUGAUAGCUCAGCGGUAGAGCAUCCGACUGUUAAUCGGACGGUCGUAGGUUCGAAUCCUACUCAGGGAGCCA